UACAGAGGGUGCAAGCGUUGCUCGGAUUUACUGGGCGUAAAGCGUACGCAGACGGUGAGAAAGGUCGGAUGUGAAAGCCCCGGGCUCAACCCGGGAACUGCAUCCGAAACCAUCUCGCUAGAGUAUGGGAGGGGGAAGCGGAAUUCCUGGUGUAGAGGUGAAAUUCGUAGAUAUCAGGAGGAACACCUGCGGCGAAGGCGGCUUCCUGGCCCAUUACUGACGUUCAGGUACGAAAG
rnacentral:rRNA from 1 species